rnacentral:rRNA from 1 species
UCUUUGACUCGGCUGAUGUUACUAUGUGAUACGUUUUCAAAGAGUCGAGUUGUUUGGGAAUGCAGCUCAAAAUGGGUGGUAAAUUUCAUCUAAGGCUAAAUAUUGGCGAGAGACCGAUAGCGAACAAGUACCGUGAGGGAAAGAUGAAAAGAACUUUGAAAAGAGAGUUAAACAGUGCGUGAAAUUGUUGAAAGGGAAACGUUUGACACCAGCUAUGUAGGCGGAAAAUCAGUCAAGCGCAGUGAGGGGCUGGUGUUUGUCCGGACCGCAAGGCCGGCGGAUAUCUCAUCUUUGCUGUGGGUGAUGCACUUUUUCGUUCGCAGGUCAACAUCAGUUUCGCUUGCUGGACAAAACCCCGAGAGAAGGUAGCAGCUUUGGCUGUGUUAUAGCUCUGGGGCGAUACAGUGGGUGGGACUGAGGAUUCGCAGUGUGUGCUCUCGGGCAAGGCUGACUGGGUGCUCUGGGGUCGUUUGGCGUACAAUGCUUGCAUUUUGCGUCUUGUCUUCUUCAGACUCGCUUAGUUCGGCUCUUCCA